AGCAUAGUCCAGUGGUUAGGGUGUUGGACUUCCAGCCCAAAUGUUCUGGGUUCGAACCCCAACGUCCAGUCUA